UACGAAGGGGGCUAGCGUUGCUCGGAAUGACUGGGCGUAAAGGGCGCGUAGGCGGAUGGUACAGUCAGAUGUGAAAUUCCCGGGCUUAACCUGGGGGCUGCAUUUGAUACGUGCGAUCUGGAGUGAGGAAGAGGGUCGUGGAAUUCCCAGUGUAGAGGUGAAAUUCGUAGAUAUUGGGAAGAACACCGGUGGCGAAGGCGGCGACCUGGUCCUUGACUGACGCUGAGGCGCGAAAGCGUGGGGAGCGAACAGG
rnacentral:rRNA from 1 species